UUAAUCGAUGCAACGCCGAAGAACCUUACCUACCCUUGACAUGUCCGGAACUUGCCAGAGAUGGCUUGGUGCCCGAAAGGGAAUCGGAACACAGGUGCUGCAUGGCUGUCGUCAGCUCGUGUCGUGAGAUGUUGGGUUAAGUCCCGCAACGAGCGCAACCCUUAUCAUUAGUUGCUACGCAAGGGCACUCUAAUGAGACUGCCGGUGACAAACCGGAGGAAGUGGGGAUGACGUCAAGUCCUCAUGGCCCUUAUGGGUAGGGCUUCACACGUCAUACAAUGGUCGGUACAGAGGGUUGCCAAGCCGCGAGGCGGAGCCAAUCCCACAAAGCCGAUCGUAGUCCGGAUUGUUCUCUGCAACUCGAGAGCAUGAAGUCGGAAUCGCUAGUAAUCGCAGGUCAGCAUACUGCAGUGAAUACGUUCCCGGGUCUU
rnacentral:rRNA from 1 species